CAUAUGCUUGUCUCAAAGAUCCAGCCAUGCAUGUCUCAGAAUAAGCUUUAACUCGGCGCAACUGCGAAUGGCUCAUUAAAACAGCCAUCGUUUUUUUGGUGGUCAUUCAUUACCUGGAUAACCGUGGUAAUUCUAGAGCUAAUACAUGCGCCCAGACCCGAGUUCGCGGAAGGGUUGUGUCUAUUAGGUACAAAACCAACCCAGUCUCUGCCUGCGUCUUUUGGUGAUUCAUGAUCACCGACCGAAUCGCAUAGCAACCGCUGGCGAUGAACCAUUCAAGUUUUUGACCUAUGAGCUUCCGACGGUAGGGUAUUGGCCUACCGUGGCAAUGACGGGUAACGGAGAAUUGGGGUUUGUUUCCGGAGAGGGACGCCUACGAUACGGGUACCACAUUUAAGGAAGGCAGCAGGCGUGCAAAUUUCCCAAUCUUGACCCAGGGAGGAAGUGACAACAAAUAACAAUACGGGGCUUUAACGUGUCGUAAUCGGAUUGAGUAGAAUUUAAAUCCCUUUAUGAGUAUAAGGGGGAGGGCAUGUCUGGU
rnacentral:rRNA from 1 species